rnacentral:pre_miRNA from 1 species
GCCUGGCUUAACACGAAAACAUGUUUGUCAAACAUUGCGUUUGACGCAAAUGUUUGUAUGUUUAGCCA